UUACAGCCAUAUCAUGAUGAAACACUGAUUCCCAUACAAUCACCGAAGUUAAGCAACAUUGAGCCUGGUCAGUAUCUAGAUAAGUGGCUACUUGGGAAUACCAACUGCUGUAAG